ACUACUCUUUCUUUAUACCAUUAUCAUCUUCUUCAUAACAUCUCAAAGAAACACAAAUCUGAGAUUAAUUUCUACCUUUAUCUCUUCACAAAGUAGAACAAAAAUCUAAAAUUUUACCUACCUUUAUCUUCUCAAAGUAUUGGUCUAUUGUAGAAGAAGGAGGACACAUCUAAUUAUCACCAUCUCCAUCUCUUUUUGAAUUAGAAUCAUUGAUCGGAAAAAAAUUCGCACCCACAUGAUCAACAAAGACUGCAACUACACCGAAGUUGUUGAAGAAUUGAGAAGGCUAUCCGAGAUUAAGUAGUCGAACUAUGUAAUUUUCAUUAUUAUUUGGACUAAUCAUGUAAUGUAUUUGUAGGACGUAUGCAUUUUCGGUUAUGAACCCGAUCUAUGUAAUUUUCGUUAUGAAUUGAAAAAACUUAAAGACUUUUGGAGGUGAAAAAUAUUCACAAUUUGUAAAAACACAUGAGUAUCUUCAAAUUUGGAGGGAAUCAUUAAUCUCUUAAUCAAU